rnacentral:rRNA from 1 species
UACGUAGGAGACAAACGUUAUCCGGAGUUACUGGGCGUAAAGGGCGUGUAGGUGGUAGUGUAAGUCUGGCGUGAAAUUUUUCGGCUUAACCGGGAAAGGUCGUCGGAUACUGCACAACUAGAGGACGGUAGAGGCGUGUGGAAUUCCGGGUGUAGUGGUGAAAUGCGUAGAGAUCCGGAGGAACACCAGUGGCGAAGGCGACACGCUGGGCCGUACCUGACACUGAUGCGCGACAGCAUGGGGAGCAAACAGG